rnacentral:rRNA from 1 species
UACGGGGGGGGCAAGCGUUGUUCGGAAUUACUGGGCGUAAAGCGCACGUAGGCGGCUUUGUAAGUUAGAGGUGAAAGCCCAGGGCUUAACCCUGGAAUUGCCUUUAAGACUGCAUCGCUCGAAUUGUGGAGAGGUGAGUGGAAUUCCGAGUGUAGAGGUGAAAUUCGUAGAUAUUCGGAAGAACACCAGUGGCGAAGGCGACUCACUGGACACAUAUUGACGCUGAGGUGCGAAAGCGUGGGGAGCAAACAGG